UAAAUCUCCCCAACUGUUUUCUUCAUUACAGAUCAAAUCUGAGCCUUCCAGCAUUCAUCUGUACAGCAGUCAAUGUGGACACUGGGAAUACCUCGCCACUAUGACCAGAGAAACGGGUUACAGAGGAGGGCUUCCAGGCUCGCUUCCCAGAACGGUGAAUCAGGGAGAAAGAUGAGCCAUGCACUGUGCAGGCCAGAUAAGGACACGCCCCCUCCACAAGAGAAUUGAAAAGACAAGCACAGCAAACACCAGAGAUCUCAGUGCAAGUGAUCAGCAUCUGGAAGACCCCAAAAGCUACAGCUCCAGGCAAUCCUGUAAUUUCGUAUUACGCAGACUACAACCUGAUGCAGUACUGCAGAGGAGCUUAUGAUCGGGAGCUUUGGCACAGACUCAGGAGGGUCAGCUGCAGAUAGUAAUGCACUAUACAGAUAAAGUCUGAUAACUCCAAUUAGCACUUAGAUGCUCUCUUCAGAGACUGGUGAUGCUGAUAAGCUAAAUUUACAGCGUGAUGUUUACCUGUUCCUUGUGGACCAAUACCAACGUCACUAAAGAGGACCAUGUUAUUUGGAAAGUAGUAAAAACUCAUCACAGACUGGCUUUUUUAAGUAG